rnacentral:rRNA from 1 species
UACGGGGGGGGUAAGCGUUGUUCGGAAUUACUGGGCGUAAAGGGCUCGUAGGCGGCCAACUAAGUCAGACGUGAAAUCCCUCAGCUUAACUGGGGAACUGCGUCCGAUACUGGAUGGCUUGGAUUUGGGAGAGGGAUGCGGAAUUCCAGGUGUAGCGGUGAAAUGCGUAGAUAUCUGGAGGAACACCGGUGGCGAAGGCGGCAUCCUGGACCAACAUUGACGCUGAGGAGCGAAAGCUAGGGGAGCAAACGGG